GCAAGUCGAACGUGAAGGCCGAUAUGAAGACCUCGGUUUGAUUUCUGGUUGGAAAGUGGCGAACGGGUGAGUAACACGUGGGUAAUCUGCCUCGAAGUGGGGGAUAACUAUUGGAAACGAUAGCUAAUACCGCAUAGUCUUGUUUUCAUGGGAAUGAAGAUGAGUAAAGCUCCGGCGCUUCGAGAGGAGCCUGCGUCCAAUUAGCUAGUUGGUGGGGUAAAGGCCCACCAAGGCGACGAUUGGUAGCUGGUCUGAGAGGACGAUC
rnacentral:rRNA from 1 species